UUCAACAUGCUCUUACAUGCCAACUGCCAGAA
rnacentral:piRNA from 1 species